UUUUCAGGAUUUGAUUCAGCUUAGCCAGUUGGUGACUGACUUUUCUGUGUUAGUCAGUUCUCAGCAGGAGAAGAUUGACAGGAUUGAAGACCACGUCAACAGUGCUGCUGCGAAUACAGAGGAGGGAACCAAAAACCUGGCGAAGGCUGCAAAAUACAAGCUGGCAGCUCUGCCCGUGGCAGGUGCAGUCAUUGGAGGAGUGGUGGGGGGUCCUAUUGGUCUCCUUGCAGGCUUCAAAGUGGCAGGAAUUGCAGCUGCACUUGGUGGUGGGAUUUUGGGUUUCACAGGUGGAAAACUGAUACAAAGAAGAAAACAGAAACAGAUCGAGCAGGUCUCUUGCAGCUGUCCAGAGCUUUCUUGCCAAAGUGCCAAAAAAUCCAGCUGAAGUACAGACUCAUUACGAGGAACAGAAGUACAGUAGCUGUGCUAAUGACAGACUUGCAGCCUCCUGCUUUAGAUUUGAGGCUAAGGUGUGAAUUCUGCAGUACAGUUACGUGGAAAGGAUGAAACAGUAAUGUCAGAAUUUCAGGGUUUUCUGUUUUCAGAUGUGAUAAGUGACUUCAAUCUUUUAACUCUUAAGAACUAUAGGGUAACUUUUAAUGAUAAAAUUCUUAAAGGAGAUACGUGAACAGCUGAUGGGUGACAGGUGCUUCAAGCCAAAUUUGCACAAAAUACCUUUCAGAUAAAGAGAUUUAGAAAACUAGUGCUUUCUCAUGAACACCCUCCCCAGAAGCCAGAGCUUGUAUUAUAUUAUUAUAGUAAUCACUGUAUAUUAUUCUAAACUUCUGUCUGCCAGAGGCAGGAAAAUAAGCUCCCAUCUAUCCUUUAUGUUCAGGGAGGGCACUUUAAAAUCUCUUCUCCGUUAUCUGGAUUCCCAAACUCCUCCUGUGUAUACCACCAGGACAGAACAGCUAUGCACAGGGAAGCACUGUUUGCCAUAGAGUAAGGUUAAAACGUUGAGAGAGUAAUGUAGAAAAACAUGUAUAUCCAGCAUCUGUCUCCAUCAGCCAGCUCAGAUCAGCAUCUUUUAUUUAUUUUGUGUACUCCUCAGUUAUUCAAAGCAUAGUUAAGACUUAAAUAGCCUAAGAAGCAGCACUGGGGGAAAGAGUCAUUUUCCAUGGCUCUUCAGCUCCUUGUCUCAAGAAUCUUGCUCAGAAUGAAGUGCCAAACUCCAGCACUCUGAGCCAGGAGCCUCAGCUGCCUUUAGCAGUGCUCAGGGCCAGCUGCUGCCCUCGCUUCUCCUGUCCUGGCACCAGCAGUGCCAUGGAGGAAGAGCUUCGCUGGAGAUGUGCUCCUUCCAUGGCCUUUAUUCAAAGGUGGGUGGAUGGAGAGGCAGUAGGGCCUGGUGAGAAAUGUGUUCAGUAGGGCAGCUCUGAGACUUGUGCUCUGUUCCUCCUUUAUGGCUGCCUCUUGGCCUUCUCAGUGGAGAUUUUGGGGCAUGUUGCUAGGACUUUCUCUAGCUUUUUACAGUAAUAUUCUGCCUUCCUGAUUUCAGUGCUUCAGAAGCCAUUUGCUUCUGUAACCUCUGCUGUUGUACACCAGAGUGCUAAUGCUUUUAUUUUUGCAUCGUCUUACUGUUAUGCAUAUAGUCCUACCUCCAUCUUUUGAGAAUGGUUCCCACAUUAUUGCUGCUACUGGUUGGGGAACAGACGUUGGAGUUGGGGAGUUUUAAGUUUUACAUUGUUCAGCUCCUCCUGAGCUCUGUAGGAUUCUAAUAGUCGUGCACCGUUGCCCUCAGACUCCCUAGCAGGGAAUGCUGGAUACAGAAGCAAACCGUGCAUACAGAGUGCUCCCUUUUGUUAACCAUGAAAAGAACCAUCUGCUAAUGACAGAUGAUAGGUUUUUGUGCCUAGAGACACAGUAAGCAACUGUUAAUUACAGCACAAGCAUCUUUUUCUGAACAGUUCUUCCAUACUACUUUUACAGUGUGAUUGGAAUUGCUAUCAGCCAGAGCAGCGCAUCUGUUUUAAGUAGGGCUGGGGCUCAGGGAAGCAACGUGCACGAGAACAGUUCUCACAAGCAAUCAGGAACGUUGUCAACACUGCGUGUGCUGAAGCCACAGUGCCUACGUCUGUAAAAUCAGCAGAAGUGGGAAAUGCGACCCGAGUAAUUCAGCGCGUUUCCUCCUGUCAUGCAAAAAACCUUUUCUUUAAAUGCAUCUACUUUGGAUGUAAAUAUAUUUAAUGAGUUUGUAACAGCUUCAUGUGAAGGCUGUUAAUUCCAGUGACUGCUAAUUUCUACAUUUAAAGAAAGAAACCAAGGAAGAAGUGCUUAAGUGGAAACUGUGGUUGAGUUGUAUGAUUUAAAUUAGCCGGAUCUGCUUUCCUACUGUCUGAUUCUGAGCCCCACGCACUUAAAUGGCAGCAGCCACAGCAGACAUCGCAGAACCUCCUCACUCCUCCUAAGGCUGGGACAAUCCACACCACCAAAUGGAACUUCUGCCACUGCUCAGCCAGGUCAGCUUCCCCCAUGCUUUCUUCAUAAAGCAUCUCACACAAGGACUGUUCUUCCUUGAGGCUUUAAGGAAGCAAUUUCAAUCCAUUGUGCACAUACUAAAUGUGGGGGGCUAUUACUUAAGCUAUGAUUUUAUUUUAUUUUUUAAAUAGAUGAGUUACUUACAUGAGCAAGAAAAUACGGGCACCUGAGUAAGUACACUACAUUCAAAUUCGUAGGCACAUUGGUUAGAAGAUAAUGUAAGCUAUACAUAAUGCUUCCAGACCAAACCAAAGUUUUUGCCCAUCUGCAUAGAACUGAUUUAGAAUGUCAGAUUUUAUUCCCUUUUGACAUCAAAAAGUUCAGUCCUUCAACAAUUCUGUUAUUAAAAUUAUUAUUAACAUUAAAGAAUCCUGUAUUGAAUUACUAAACUA